AUUGAACGCUGGCGGCAGGCCUAACACAUGCAAGUCGAGCGAGCGGCGGACGGGUGAGUAAUGUCUGGGAAACUGCCUGCUUGAGGGGGAUCACUACUGGAAACGGUAGGCAAUAACGCCUACCAUUGGAUGUGACCAGAUGGGAUUAGCUAGUAGGUGGGGUAACGGCUCACCUAGGCGCCGAUCCCUAGCUGGUCUGAGAGGAUGACCAGCCACACUGGAACGGAGACACGGUCCAGACUCCUACGGGAGGCAGCAGUGGGGCAGAUUGCACAAUGGGCGCAAGCCUGAUGCAGCCAUGCCGCGUGUGUGAAGAAGGCCUUCGGGUUGUAAAGCACUUUCAGCGGGGAAGCGUUACCCGCAGAAGAAGCACCGGCUAACUCCGUGCCAGCCGCCGCGGUAAUUC
rnacentral:rRNA from 1 species